GCAGUCGAGCGGACUGAUGGGAGCUUGCUCCCUGAGGUUAGCGGCGGACGGGUGAGUAACACGUGGGCAACCUGCCUGUAAGACUGGGAUAACUCCGGGAAACCGGGGCUAAUACCGGAUAACCCGUUCCACCUCAUGGUGGAGCGGUAAAAGAUGGCCUCUGGCUAUCACUUACAGAUGGGCCCGCGGCGCAUUAGCUAGUUGGUAAGGUAACGGCUUACCAAGGCGACGAUGCGUAGCCGACCUGAGAGGGUGAUCGGCCACACUGGGACUGAGACACGGCCCAGACUCCUACGGGAGGCAGCAGUAGGGAAUCUUCCGCAAUGGACGAAAGUCUGACGGAGCAACGCCGCGUGAGUGAUGAAGGUUUUCGGAUCGUAAAGCUCUGUUGUUAGGGAAGAACAAGUGCCGUUUGAAUAAGGCGGCACCUUGACGGUACCUAACCAGAAAGCCACGGCUAACUACGUGCCAGCAGCCGCGGUAAUACGUAGGUGGCAAGCGUUGUCCGGAAUUAUUGGGCGUAAAGCGCGCGCAAGCGGUCUCUUAAGUCUGAUGUGAAAGCCCACGGCUCAACCGUGGAGGGUCAUUGGAAACUGGGAGACUUGAGUACAGAAGAGGAGAGUG
rnacentral:rRNA from 2 species